AGUCGUAUGGUCUAAUGGUUAUGAUUUCUCGUUCACAAGUAUGUGUACAUUGUCCCGAGACGGUUCCGUGUUCGAUCCACGGUACGACUA
rnacentral:tRNA from 1 species